rnacentral:rRNA from 1 species
GCUUGGAAGCAGCCAUUCAUUUAAAGAGUGCGUAACAGCUCACUAGUCGAGGAGUCGGGCGUGGAUAAUAAUCGGGUAUCAAGUUGUCUACCGAAGCAGUGGGAUCAUUUAUAUGAUCGGUAGGGGAGCAUUCCAGUCAGCGUCGAAGGCGUACCGUGAGGUAUUCUGGAGCGUCUGGAAAAGCAAAUGUAGGUAUAAGUAACGAUAAAGGGGGCGGGAAACCCCCUCGCCGAAAGACUAAGGUUUCCUGAUCAACGCUAAUCGGAUCAGGGUCAGUCGGGUCCUAAGGCUCAGCCGAACGGCGAUGCCGAUGGCAGAAACGGUUAAUAUUCCGUUACUACCUUCAGGAGUGACGUGGAGACGCAGUAGUGACAGUGCCGCCAUCUGACGGAAUAGAUGGUUGAAGGGUGUAGGAGUCGAUCAUGGCAGGCAAAUCCACCAUGAGAUCCGAACCUGACAGUAUGCCGCGUCCUUCGGGACAAGGCAAUAGUGCGCGUAAGCAUGCUGCCGAGAAAAUCCGCUAAACUUAAUCCUGCAGGUACCCGUACCGCAAACGGACACACGUAGUCGGGAUGAAUAUUCUAAGGCGCUUGAGUGAUUCACGGUUAAGGAACUAGGCAAACUGACCCUGUAACUUCGGGAUAAAGGGUCCCUACCCUUUUAUGGGAGGGCGCAGAGAAUCGGUCCAGGCAACUGUUUAACAAAAACACAGGGCUGUGCCAAAUCGAAAGAUCCAGUAUACAGCCUGACACCUGCCCGGUGCUGGAAGGUUAAGAGGAGAUGUCAUCGAUAAGAGAAGCGUUGAAUUGAAGCCCCAGUAAACGGCGGCCGUAACUAUAACGGUCCUAAGGUAGCGAAAUUCCUUGUCGGGUAAGUUCCGACCUGCACGAAUGGUGUAAUGAUCUGGACGCUGUCUCAACCGUGAGCUCAGUGAAAUUGUAGUAUCGGUGAAGAUGCCGAUUACCCGCGAUGGGACGAAAAGACCCCGUGAACCUUUACUAUAGCUUAUCAUUGAAUCUGGGCACGUGAUGUGUAGGAUAGGUCGGAGGCUUUGAAGCAGGUACGCCAGUAUUUGUGGAGCCGCUGUUGAAAUACGACCCUUUAUUUGUUUGGAUUCUAACCCGUGGUACGGGGACAUUGAUUGGUGGGUAGUUUGACUGGGGUGGUCGCCUCCAAAAGCGUAACGGAGGCUUCUAAAGGUGCCCUCCGGCCGAUUGGUAACCGGCCUUAGAGUGUAAUGGCAUAAGGGCGCUUGACUGGGAGACUAACAAGUCGAUCAGGUAGGAAACUAGAGCAUAGUGAUCCGGUGUUUCCGUAUGGAAGGGACAUCGCUCAAAGGAUAAAAGGUACUCCGGGGAUAACAGGCUGAUCCCUCCCAAGAGCUCAUAUCGACGGAGUGGUUUGGCACCUCGAUGUCGGCUCGUCACAUCCUGGGGCUGGAGAAGGUCCCA